rnacentral:rRNA from 1 species
CCCUUAGAUGUUCUGGGCCGCACGCGUGCUACACUGAGUGGAUCAGCGGGUCAGGUUGCGCGAAAGCGUUUCCUAAUCUUUAAAUCCGCUCGUGAUGGGGAUUGACGGUUGCAAUUUUCUGUCAUGAACGAGGAAUACCUUGUAAGCGCGGGUCAUCAUCCCGCGCUGAAUACGUCCCUGCCCCUUGUACACACCGCCCGUCGCUCCUACCGAUUGAGUGGUCCGGUGAGGCUUUGGGAUCUGAGCGGAAAGAGCGUUUCGCUGUUUCUGCUCGGAAAACUCAGUCGAACCUUAUCAUUUAGAGGAAGGAGAAGUCGUAACA